rnacentral:rRNA from 1 species
GGGUUGUGAGGUUAAGCGACUAAGCGUACACGGUGGAUGCCCUGGCAGUCAGAGGCGAUGAAGGACGUGCUAAUCUGCGAUAAGCGUCGGUAAGGUGAUAUGAACCGUUAUAACCGGCGAUUUCCGAAUGGGGAAACCCAGUGUGAUUCGUCACACUAUCAUUAACUGAAUCCAUAGGUUAAUGAGGCGAACCGGGGGAACUGAAACAUCUAAGUACCCCGAGGAAAAGAAAUCAACCGAGAUUCCCCCAGUAGCGGCGAGCGAACGGGGAGCAGCCCAGAGCCUGAAUCAGUGUGUGUGUUAGUGGAAGCGUCUGGAAAGGCGCGCGAUACAGGGUGACAGCCCCGUACACAAAAAUGCACAUACUGUGAGCUCGAUGAGUAGGGCGGGACACGUGGUAUCCUGUCUGAAUAUGGGGGGACCAUCCUCCAAGGCUAAAUACUCCUGACUGACCGAUAGUGAACCAGUACCGUGAGGGAAAGGCGAAAAGAACCCCGGCGAGGGGAGUGAAAAAGAACCUGAAACCGUGUACGUACAAGCAGUGGGAGCACAGAGCAAUCUGUGUGACUGCGUACCUUUUGUAUAAUGGGUCAGCGACUUAUAUUCUGUAGCAAGGUUAACCGAAUAGGGGAGCCGAAGGGAAACCGAGUCUUAACUGGGCGUUAAGUUGCAGGGUAUAGACCCGAAACCCGGUGAUCUAGCCAUGGGCAGGUUGAAGGUUGGGUAACACUAACUGGAGGACCGAACCGACUAAUGUUGAAAAAUUAGCGGAUGACUUGUGGCUGGGGGUGAAAGGCCAAUCAAACCGGGAGAUAGCUGGUUCUCCCCGAAAGCUAUUUAGGUAGCGCCUCGUGAAUUCAUCUCCGGGGGUAGAGCACUGUUUCGGCAAGGGGGUCAUCCCGACUUACCAACCCGAUGCAAACUGCGAAUACCGGAGAAUGUUAUCACGGGAGACACACGGCGGGUGCUAACGUCCGUCGUGAAGAGGGAAACAACCCAGACCGCCAGCUAAGGUCCCAAAGUCAUGGUUAAGUGGGAAACGAUGUGGGAAGGCCCAGACAGCCAGGAUGUUGGCUUAGAAGCAGCCAUCAUUUAAAGAAAGCGUAAUAGCUCACUGGUCGAGUCGGCCUGCGCGGAAGAUGUAACGGGGCUAAACCAUGCACCGAAGCUGCGGCAGCGACGCUUAUGCGUUGUUGGGUAGGGGAGCGUUCUGUAAGCCUGUGAAGGUGUACUGUGAGGUAUGCUGGAGGUAUCAGAAGUGCGAAUGCUGACAUAAGUAACGAUAAAGCGGGUGAAAAGCCCGCUCGCCGGAAGACCAAGGGUUCCUGUCCAACGUUAAUCGGGGCAGGGUGAGUCGACCCCUAAGGCGAGGCCGAAAGGCGUAGUCGAUGGGAAACAGGUUAAUAUUCCUGUACUUGGUGUUACUGCGAAGGGGGGACGGAGAAGGCUAUGUUGGCCGGGCGACGGUUGUCCCGGUUUAAGCGUGUAGGCUGGUUUUCCAGGCAAAUCCGGAAAAUCAAGGCUGAGGCGUGAUGACGAGGCACUACGGUGCUGAAGCAACAAAUGCCCUGCUUCCAGGAAAAGCCUCUAAGCAUCAGGUAACAUCAAAUCGUACCCCAAACCGACACAGGUGGUCAGGUAGAGAAUACCAAGGCGCUUGAGAGAACUCGGGUGAAGGAACUAGGCAAAAUGGUGCCGUAACUUCGGGAGAAGGCACGCUGAUAUGUAGGUGAAGCGACUUGCUCGUGGAGCUGAAAUCAGUCGAAGAUACCAGCUGGCUGCAACUGUUUAUUAAAAACACAGCACUGUGCAAACACGAAAGUGGACGUAUACGGUGUGACGCCUGCCCGGUGCCGGAAGGUUAAUUGAUGGGGUUAGCGCAAGCGAAGCUCUUGAUCGAAGCCCCGGUAAACGGCGGCCGUAACUAUAACGGUCCUAAGGUAGCGAAAUUCCUUGUCGGGUAAGUUCCGACCUGCACGAAUGGCGUAAUGAUGGCCAGGCUGUCUCCACCCGAGACUCAGUGAAAUUGAACUCGCUGUGAAGAUGCAGUGUACCCGCGGCAAGACGGAAAGACCCCGUGAACCUUUACUAUAGCUUGACACUGAACAUUGAGCCUUGAUGUGUAGGAUAGGUGGGAGGCUUUGAAGUGUGGACGCCAGUCUGCAUGGAGCCGACCUUGAAAUACCACCCUUUAAUGUUUGAUGUUCUAACGUUGACCCGUAAUCCGGGUUGCGGACAGUGUCUGGUGGGUAGUUUGACUGGGGCGGUCUCCUCCUAAAGAGUAACGGAGGAGCACGAAGGUUGGCUAAUCCUGGUCGGACAUCAGGAGGUUAGUGCAAUGGCAUAAGCCAGCUUGACUGCGAGCGUGACGGCGCGAGCAGGUGCGAAAGCAGGUCAUAGUGAUCCGGUGGUUCUGAAUGGAAGGGCCAUCGCUCAACGGAUAAAAGGUACUCCGGGGAUAACAGGCUGAUACCGCCCAAGAGUUCAUAUCGACGGCGGUGUUUGGCACCUCGAUGUCGGCUCAUCACAUCCUGGGGCUGAAGUAGGUCCCAAGGGUAUGGCUGUUCGCCAUUUAAAGUGGUACGCGAGCUGGGUUUAGAACGUCGUGAGACAGUUCGGUCCCUAUCUGCCGUGGGCGCUGGAGAACUGAGGGGGGCUGCUCCUAGUACGAGAGGACCGGAGUGGACGCAUCACUGGUGUUCGGGUUGUCAUGCCAAUGGCACUGCCCGGUAGCUAAAUGCGGAAGAGAUAAGUGCUGAAAGCAUCUAAGCACGAAACUUGCCCCGAGAUGAGUUCUCCCUGACUCCUUGAGAGUCCUGAAGGAACGUUGAAGACGACGACGUUGAUAGGCCGGAUGUGUAAGCGCAGCGAUGCGUUGAGCUAACCGGUACUAAUGAACCGUGAGGCUUAACCUUACAACGCCGAAGGUGUUU